AUUGAACGCUGGCGGCAGGCCUAACACAUGCAAGUCGAGCGGAUGAAGGGAGCUUGCUCCUGGAUUCAGCGGCGGACGGGUGAGUAAUGCCUAGGAAUCUGCCUGGUAGUGGGGGAUAACGUCCGGAAACGGGCGCUAAUACCGCAUACGUCCUGAGGGAGAAAGUGGGGGAUUUUCGGACCUCACGCUAUCAGACGAGCCUAGUUGGGAUUAGCUAGUUGGUGGGGCAGAGGCCUACCAAGGCGACGAUCCUGAACUGGUCUGAGAGGAUGAUCAGUCACACUGGGACUGAGACCCGGUGCAGAAUCCUAGAGGAGCCAGCAGUGGGGAAUAUUCGACGCUGAGCGAAAGCCUGAUCCAUCCAUGCUGCGUGUGUGAAGAAGGUCUUCGGAUUGUACAGCACUUUAAGUUGGGAGGAGGGGCAGUAAUUUAAUACCUUGCUGUUUUGACGUUACCAACAGAAUAAGCACCGGCUAGGUUCGUG
rnacentral:rRNA from 1 species